rnacentral:rRNA from 1 species
GGGUUCGAUUCUGGCUCAGGAUGAACGCUGGCGGCGUGCUUAACACAUGCAAGUCGAACGAACCUUCGGGUUAGUGGCGGACGGGUGAGUAACGCGUGGGAAUCUGCCCUCAGGAGGGGGAUAACGGCCGGAAACGGCCGCUAAUACCCCAUAUGCCGAGAGGUGAAAUGAAUUUCGCCUGAGGAUGAGCCCGCGUCUGAUUAGCUAGUUGGUGAGGUAAGAGCUCACCAAGGCAUCGAUCAGUAGCUGGUCUGAGAGGAUGAUCAGCCACACUGGGACUGAGACACGGCCCAGACUCCUACGGGAGGCAGCAGUGGGGAAUUUUCCGCAAUGGGCGAAAGCCUGACGGAGCAACGCCGCGUGAGGGAUGAAGGCCUCUGGGCUGUAAACCUCUUUUAUCAAGGAAGAAGAUCUGACGGUACUUGAUGAAUAAGCCACGGCUAAUUCCGUGC